UGACGCACGUCAUAGUACUUUUAUCGAAAUAUCGCGAGAAAACAGAAUUCUCCUCGUAUUUCUAUCUGCAUAACUAUCAUGCUGAAACUAUGAUACAUUCAUAACACAAAGCAUUCCUUUUGACUUAUUUCUGUAUUGAUGGACUUUAAUUUGUGAGUUUGUAAUGAUGGCAAAUAAUCGUAUACCUUCAGGGCCCAAUACGCCUGGGAGUCAACAGACCCCAACACAGCAAGGAAUUAAGAUAUUUAUACAGAGGGACUAUUCUGAAGGGACUGCGGUGAAGUUCCAGACUCGUUUCCCGCCAGAACUGGAAGAUCGAAUAGACAGACAAACAUUCGAGUACACGAUGGAGCGUCUGAACGAGCACUUCGAGAUGGCAGAGACGGCCGACUGCAGCACUUACUGCGAGGGUUGUUUAGCCUGCCUCACUGCCUACUUCAUUUAUAUCUGUACGGAGACACAUUAUGAAAAGCACUUAAGAAAAGUAUCAAAAUUCAUAGCGACGCAAAACGAACGAGUUUACAACCCCCGCGGGAUUCACAUCACGGACCCCAUACUACGGGGUCUUCGAGUCAUAGAGAUCACGGUUAUUGACGUACCCAACUGUCAGAGUCCGACUGGCAACUCGAACAACCAAAUGAGGCAUACAUGACCACCACAGGAAAACCGGGAGUUCUUCAUGUAACCAAGCAGACUCUUCUUGAUGUAAGGAUUUGGCUCUUAUAGGACAAGCACUCCAAAAUGUACCUACUGGGCACAGUUUAACUACAUACGCAAUUUCAUGUAUAAAUGUCACCACAAUUCUUUCUGCCAUCAAACAAUGGUGAAGGAGGCAACCACUUACCUUGAGGUGAUAAUAAAAUAACCAUAGCUUGAAAAUGCAAUCUAUAUCAUGUUUUGCACCGUUUUGAAGUUGCCUACAAACCAUGAAAUUAAAUACAAUAGUAAAUAUGUUAUCAGAUGACGGUAAAAUCAGAUAAUAUAUUUUCUCAGGCUCUUGUGAAAGAUAAGUAAAAAUUUUCUUGUUUGCCGAUUCAUUCGUAUGAGUAACCAGUUAGAUAGUAAAACAUUUUUAAAUAAAAUAAUUAUGUAUAAUAGAGUAGGUUAUAAUGAGAGCUGAAUUCGUAUGUCACAAAGAAGAUUUUAUACAAAAGUUUUUAAAUAUAGACUGUCUUUUUCCAAUAAAAUUUUCUUUCGAGUCAUAGUAUAUUGUGUAAAUGUGUAGAUAGGACCACUGUGUGGUCUAAUAUUAUGAACGUAAUUUUUGUACCUAGCUUUGUUUUAGAACUUUCAUGAUCGUUUUUUAGGGGAAUUUGGUAAUAAUGGCAACUCUAAAAUUUUGUUUGAAGAACCAUAGAAGUAGUUUUCUUGACGUAAACUGGUUUAUAUGUAGUAUUGUCAUUAUCCCUAAAUUCCUUACACAUCACUAAAUAAAUCCAAUAAAUGAAGUAUUUCACGUCAAAGACUAAGAGUGACUCAAUUUUGAUCUUAUGACUGAAUUUAAUUUAUUUUUCGUUUAGCAUGACAGGACUCCUUUUGCCAAAAUUUCUUCCAAUUUGAAUGAAGAAUGUUGUAGAUAUAAAUGUAGUUAUUGUUGAAAUGAAAAUAUCGGACGUAGAUUGCGUAGCUUAUCAUUUUGCGUAAGGAAAUGUACUAGCAGUAAUGGUUUGAGUUAUUUUCUGUAGUAUUUUUAUCU
rnacentral:misc_RNA from 1 species